rnacentral:misc_RNA from 1 species
GAUGAAGAACGCAGCGAAAUGCGAUAAGUAAUGUGAAUUGCAGAAUUCAGUGAAUCAUCGAAUCUUUGAACGCGCAUUGCGCCCUCUGGUAUUCCGGAGGGCAUGCCUGUUCGAGCGUCAUUUCGACCCUCAAGCAUUGCUUGGUGUUGGGGCACCGCCUGUAAAAGGGCGGGCCCUGAAAUCUAGUGGCGAGCUCGCCAGGACCCCGAGCGUAGUAAUUAUAUUUCGUUCUGGAAGGCCCUGGCGGUGCCCUGCCGUUAAACCCCCAACUUCUGAAAAUUUGACCUCGGAUCAGGUAGGAAUACCCGCUGAACUUAAGCAUAUCAAUAAGCGGAGGA